AUAAUGAUACUUCCGUCCAGUCACAGUCCGAGCGUGAUAAAACCGUCGCAGGCAAUGAGGGCGGCCCGGUGAGAACCACGGGGUGGUGAGAUUCCAAUGA
rnacentral:ncRNA from 1 species